rnacentral:rRNA from 1 species
GACGAACGCUGGCGGCGUGCUUAACACAUGCAAGUCGAACGCUGAAGCUCAGCUUUUGUUGGGUGGAUGAGUGGCGAACGGGUGAGUAACACGUGAGUAACCUGCCCCCUUCUUUGGGAUAACGCCCGGAAACGGGUGCUAAUACUGGAUAUUCACUGGUCUUCGCAUGGGGGUUGGUGGAAAGGGUUUUUCUGGUGGGGGAUGGGCUCGCGGCCUAUCAGCUUGUUGGUGGGGUGAUGGCCUACCAAGGCUUUGACGGGUAGCCGGCCUGAGAGGGUGACCGGUCACAUUGGGACUGAGAUACGGCCCAGACUCCUACGGGAGGCAGCAGUGGGGAAUAUUGCACAAUGGGCGCAAGCCUGAUGCAGCGACGCCGCGUGAGGGAUGGAGGCCUUCGGGUUAUGAACCUCUUUCGCUCAUGGUCAAGCCGCAACAAUGGUUGUGGUGAGGGUAGUGGGUAAAGAAGCGCCGGCUAACUACGUG